rnacentral:rRNA from 1 species
CCUACGGGAGGCAGCAGUGGGGAAUAUUGCACAAUGGGCGCAAGCCUGAUGCAGCCAUGCCGCGUGUGUGAAGAAGGCCUUCGGGUUGUAAAGCACUUUCAGCGGGGAGGAAGGCGGUGAGGUUAAUAACCUCAUCGAUUGACGUUACCCGCAGAAGAAGCACCGGCUAACUCCGUGCCAGCAGCCGCGGUAAUACGGAGGGUGCAAGCGUUAAUCGGAAUUACUGGGCGUAAAGCGCACGCAGGCGGUCUGUCAAGUCGGAUGUGAAAUCCCGGGGCUCAACCUGGGAACUGCAUUCGAAACUGGCAGGCUAGAGUCUUGUAGAGGGGGGUAGAAUUCCAGGUGUAGCGGUGAAAUGCGUAGAGGUCUGGAGGAAUACCGGUGGCGAAGGCGGCCCCCUGGACAAAGACUGACGCUCAGGUGCGAAAGCGUGGGGAGCAAACAGGAUUAGAUACCCCAGUAGUC